rnacentral:rRNA from 1 species
UAAAUAGUCGGGCCAGCUUCGGCUGGUCAUUGGCUUCUUAGAGGGACUAUCGGCUUCAAGCCGAUGGAAAUUUGAGGCAAUAACAGGUCUGUGAUGCCCUUAGAUGUUCUGGGCCGCACGCGCGCUACACUGACAGAGCCAACGAGUCUAUUCCUUGUCCGAAAGGCCUG